CAGUUCCAGUUCCUCUGUUUCUUCGGUAGUUUUUGGAUUGGUAAGAGAUUGAGUGAUCUUCUUCUUAUUCUUUUCAUCAUCAACCGGAGCCAAAGCCAAGAGCCAAAUCGUCUUAGAGGUAGAGCUUUUCUGAUGGUGGCUGUUGGGCUUUGAAGAAGUAGAGCUUUCUUGUGGGGGCUACUGAGCUGCAUACUUCACAAGUUUGAGAAUGGCAUAAGGAGAUUUUUUUUUUUUUAACUCAUCCAUUGUUAUGCGUUGGCAAAUUAAGAAGGUUCAUAGAUGUCUGAUCUUUCUUAAGUUAACAAAUUUCCAUUUUGUUUUAAGAUUCUUAAGUUGGUA